AACGAACGCUGGCGGCAGGCUUAACACAUGCAAGUCGAGCGGAGAUGAGGUGCUUGCACCUUAUCUUAGCGGCGGACGGGUGAGUAAUGCUUAGGAAUCUGCCUAUUAGUGGGGGACAACAUUCCGAAAGGAAUGCUAAUACCGCAUACGCCCUACGGGGGAAAGCAGGGGAUCUUCGGACCUUGCGCUAAUAGAGGAGCCUAAGUCGGAUUAGCUAGUUGGGGGGGUAAAGGCCUACCAAGGCGACGAUCUGUAGCGGGUCUGAGAGGAUGAUCCGCCACACUGGGACUGAGACACGGCCCAGACGCCUACGGGAGGCAGCAGUGGGGAAUAUUGGACAAUGGGCGGAAGCCUGAUCCAGCCAUGCCGCGUGUGUGAAGAAGGCCUUUUGGUUGUAAAGCACUUUAAGCGAGGAGGAGGCUACCUGGAUUAAUACUCUAGGAUAGUGGACGUUACUCGCAGAAUAAGCACCGGCUAACUCUGUGCCAGCCGCCGCAGUAAAAC
rnacentral:rRNA from 1 species